CCUGGUGGCUUAGAUGGUAAAGCAUCUGCCUACAAUGCAGGAGACCCGGGUUUGAUCCCUGGGUCAGGA
rnacentral:tRNA from 1 species